ACACACACCACUGUUAGAAAUAGACAGUCCACAGUGACUUGGAGAGUAAGAAAAUCAGAGCCUACAGUCCCAGGGCAUUUCCUCAACAAGAUGGCCUUUAUAUUGCCAUAGAGAAACUGGAAACAUUCCAGGGGCCACCUGAGGUUGUUUUUGGUCUACCUAUCCCCUAGUGGUUAGUAGUAAAUUUAGGAAUGGGUCAGUGGUCAGUGUCCACAGAGACCUUGCACUUCUUUUGGAUUUUCAACUACUUCUCUGGACCAGGUAACUCUUUAGAGUUACAAAGAGAAUAUUGCUAGUACGACCUUGGCUCUCAAAUUCUUGUUAAGUUGGCUAAUGACAGUAUUCUGGGUAUUGGAAAGCCACACAAUCUUGAAAUGUGACCCAGGAAAGCCAGAAGAUUUGCUGACAUGGAAAAACAAAUUGACCUUGGAGUCCUAAAAUAUUAACAUGAAUAGGUAAAUAUGAGUGGUUAGUAUUUGGAGAACUUGCCUCUUCCACUGAAGAAGAGAAGUGGGUUAAAUUUUUUUGUGAAUACACACACACACACACACACACACACACACACAUUUUCACACCACAUACACACAUGCAAUCACACAUGCACACACAGAGACACAAACACACAUAUGCACACACACAUAGACACAAUCUCUCACACACUUACACACAAAAUAACACAAUCUUCCACUGUCACUGGGCUGUGGCAAGAUUUCACAGCAAGUGGCCUCGAUGUAAGUCAACUCACUGAGAAACUAUUGUUCAAGUAAUUCACAUGAGUCAUCUUUGCAGCUCAAUUUUGUUCACAGGCAAAUACAAGGUUGAAAAAUAAAUUCAUAGAAUGAUGUCUGAUUGUCAUUGGAAUGGAAAAAUAGAUGUUGAGUUUCUUACACUGCAGAUGCCAUAUUUUUUUCAAAAGAUAUAUGUAUGUGUGUGUGUGUGUGUGUGUGUGUGUGUGUGUGUAAAUUUAAAAACUAUAUAUGUGUAUACGGUAUGUAAUACACACACACACACAGAGUGUUUUUUUUUUUUAAUUUACCAAUCACAUACUAUGUUCACCCAAGGAUAGAAUUAAAGUGAGGCUAACUCCUCUGGCUUGAAAAUAGUGUUUGUGCUGAGCUGAAGUUUGCUUCUAUUCCUUAUAGUCUUUCUUUUCCCCAUACCAGUUUGCCUGACAAUAUCUGCCUAACACAUCCUCUGUUAACUACCCACUAUAUUCUGAGAUUUAUAUUUAAUUAUCUCUCUUAAUUUAAAUAUGUCCUGAAGAAUAAAACGGAUAAGCAUAUAUGUGGAUCAAUCUUCAACCAGCUUUAGAAAAAAGAACCAUCUUCCAGGGAAAUGCUGGUUAUUUUUAUUCUGACGGAGUCAUCACACUGCUAUCCUUCCGGGAAAGUGCCUGGUCACUAAUGACUGAGAUGGGCAUGUGGGGGUAGAGUCCACUUGCUGUUUGUCUUGUGUCAGAUUGUUGUUUCCUCGGCACAUUUGAGCUACAGAAUGAAAGUAAAGAUGCUGAACUUCAAAUC
rnacentral:lncRNA from 1 species